AGAGUUUGAUCAUGGCUCAGAACGUACGCUGGCGGCACGCCUAACACAUGCAAGUCGAACGAAGUAGCAAUACUUAGUGGCAGACGGGUGAGUAACAUGUAGGUAUCUGCCCUUUGGCCUGGAAUAACACGAGGAAACUUGUGCUAAUACCGGAUAAGUCUUUACGGAGAAAGCUUUAUGCACCAUUGGAUGAGCCUGCACUUGAUUAGUUUGUUGGUGGGGUAAUGGCCUACCAAGACUGUGAUCAAUAGCUGAUUUGAGAGGAUGAUCAGCCACAUUGGGACUGAGACACGGCCCAAACUCUUACGGGAGGCAGCAGUGGGGAAUCUUGCACAAUGGAGGAAACUCUGAUGCAGCGAUGCCGCGUGAGUGAAGAAGGCCCUUGGGUUGUAAAGCUCUUUCGUCGGGGAAGAAAAUGACUGUACCCGAAUAAGAAGGUCCGGCUAACUUCGUGCCAGCAGCCGCGGUAAUACGAAGGGACCUAGCGUAGUUCGGAAUUACUGGGCUUAAAGAGUUCGUAGGUGGUUGAAAAAGUUAGUGGUGAAAUCCCAGAGCUUAACUCUGGAACUGCCAUUAAAACUUUUCAGCUAGAGUAUGAUAGAGGAAAGCAGAAUUUCUAGUGUAGAGGUGAAAUUCGUAGAUAUUAGAAAGAAUACCAAUUGCGAAGGCAGCUUUCUGGAUCAUUACUGACACUGAGGAACGAAAGCAUGGGUAGCGAAGAGGAUUAGAUACCCUCGUAGUCCAUGCCGUAAACGAUGUGUGUUAGACGUUGGAAAUUUAUUUUCAGUGUCGCAGGGAAACCGAUAAACACACCGCCUGGGGAGUACGACCGCAAGGUUAAAACUCAAAUGAAUUGACGGGGACCCGCACAAGUAGUGGAGCAUGUGGUUUAAUUCGAAGAUACGCGCAGAACCUUACCAACACUUGACAUGUUCGUCGCGACUCUAAGAGAUUAGAGUUUUCGGUUCGGCCGGACGAAACACAGGUGCUGCAUGGCUGUCGUCAGCUCGUGUCGUGAGAUGUUGGGUUAAGUCCCGCAACGAGCGCAACCCUCACUUUUAGUUGCCAUCAUUAAGUUGGGCACUCUGAAAGAACUGCCAGUGAUAAGCUGGAGGAAGGUGGGGAUGACGUCAAGUCCUCAUGGCCCUUACGUGUUGGGCUACACACGUGCUACAAUGGUAUCUACAACAGGAAGCAAGACUGCGAAGUUAAGCAAAUCCCUAAAAGAUACCUCAGUUCGGAUUGCACUCUGCAACUCGAGUGCAUGAAGCUGGAAUUACUAGUAAUCGUGGAUCAGCGUGCCACGGUGAAUGCGUUCCCGGGUCUUGUACACACCGCCCGUCACACCAUGGGAGUUGGUUCUACCUUAAGGCAAGGUUUCAAACCCUUGACCACGGUAUAGUCAGCGACUGGGGUGAAGUCGUAACAAGGUAAA
rnacentral:rRNA from 1 species